rnacentral:tRNA from 1 species
UUAAUUGAAACCAAAAAGCGGUAUACCACUGUUAAUGGUAAAAUUGAAUGAUAUUUCCAAUUAAA